CUACUGUGAGAUCAUGAGGCAACAAUCAUGAAGACACGGCUAAAAAGACAGCAGAGAUGAGGAUUCCUGACACGGCAGAGCCACCGAACAACCUCAAAGCUGCUUUUCUUCAGACAAGAGUAAAAAAAUAGUGGUACAGAGAUUUGGAUAUCAACAAGGUUCUGCAGUUAAGCUGAUCAGUUCCAGCAAGAAGGAAGAUCAACCUCACCAUUCAUGAAAAGAAAACAAUGGCUUUAAGUCACCACCACCACCACCAUGAGGACAAAGCCAAGGAAAGAAAAAGGGGUGACCAGCCUUCGCUCAGAAGUUUGUCAAAAGAGUUAAAAGUUGGCCAUUUUGUUUUACUGCCUAUUUUAUUUCUCCCCGACUUUAAGAAUGGGUCCUAAGCUUGCAACACUUGCUCGACAUAUAUAUUCUUUGCCUUCAUCUCACCUGACUCGUAAUGCUGUGUGUUCCAAACAGCAGAAUGUGAGUGGACAUCAUAUGUACCACCUCUGGGCCUGGACCAUAGAACUCACACAUAAUCCUUCAUGUUCUUAUGUGACCACACAGAUGAACAAAGCAAGCCAAGUGUGGAAACGUGUUAAAGAUGACGGAACCACAAGAUGGAACAAGCCUGGAUCCCUGAAUCCCUCCUUGGAGGAUGAGUGCCCACAAAUUGUAAAUAGCCACCCAGAUCUCA